rnacentral:rRNA from 1 species
AUGGGAUCUCAUGCUGAGAAAGUUGGAAUCCGGGUAGGUGAUAUUAUUGGACACAUUGGUGGAGAACCCGUUUCGACCACAAUUGAGUUGGAAAACAAGUUGCUAAGCAUAUCAAUGAGCAGUUUUGAUGUAGGAAAUGACACUAAUGCCAAAUUGGAUGUUUCUGUGCGUGUAUUUCGCACGGCCAACUGUCUCUGGAGGAAAAAGCAUUUGACUGUAAAUGUAUCUGAUCAUCAAGAAGUAGUUGAACGAGCUUAUUAUCCUAUCAUUAAUGGAGAACGGUUUUCUAUUGUGUCGUCGCCUGACCAAGUUGACUCAGACUCGGACUCAGAAUUGAACUCGGAUGAGUGA